CCGAGGAAGGAGGCCAAAGUCGGCCCUGGUCCUCCAGGCUCCUGCAGUCUGCCCCGCUUCUGAGCAUCGCCGAAGGGACUGUGGGGCGUGGCAGCUGGUAGCGGCUGUCCAGGAUCAGGAACCCUCCCCCCGUCACGGGCCCUGACCAUCCUGUCAGGCAGCGCCAUAGUCCCUGUGUGACAGACUGCUCUUGCCCCUGCACAUCCAGCCCUGCGAUUCUGAUAAAACCCUGCCGUGAAGGGGAAAUGAAGUGGUUGCACAAUCCCACAGCCCUCCUUGGCAGCCAUGUCCUGUGAAUGGACAUGCCAACAAUGGACACGUGUGGAUUUCCGGAAGCACCUCAAGGGGACCAGCAUGGUCCUUUUCCUGGCCCUUCCUGCUGCCCCUCCUUGCAAGGCAGACAAGUGAUGGCUGCCAUCUCCGACCACGAGACGGGGGCCACGUCGUGAGGAUGAAAGAGCCGACGGUUAACCAUGGCACCACCAAGACGCAGCCCUGGAUUGCCCAUGUUAAGCAGAAGAAGACGGCUACAUCACGGAUAAGGAACUGGAAGGAGGUCCAGGCGCUGUCCAUCCCAUCUCCCUAUAUUACAGGAAAUUGAGCCCCAGGGAAGGAAAACGACUGGGCCAAGCCACAUGGUGUGUUCCUGGUGGCAUUUGGUGGCUGGGCUUUGAACAUCCAACAGAUAAUGUGAACAGGCAGUGUUCCAGGCAAUGUGACGAAAAGCAACAGAAUUCACAACUGUGUGGUGAUAGACAGUUAACUAGACUUACUGUGGAGAGCAUUUUGUAAUGUAUAACAAUAUCGAGUCACUAUGAU